rnacentral:lncRNA from 1 species
UCCCUAAGCUAAGAUAUGGGGAUGCAUAGUUUACCCUAUCUAAUUGUGUUGUUUUUGAAUUUAGGAGCAUUGCUCACUUCACUAGGCUGCCCUGAAUGUUACCACCACCCAUCUCCGCCGCCGAAAUGUCCUCCGCCACACUAUCCGCCUAAACAUCAUCAUCCUCCCAUUGUUAAGCCACCCUAUCACCCUAAACCACCAAAACAUCAUCCUCCAAAGCCACCUAAGCCUCCCGCGGUAAACCCACCAUAUCACCCUAAACCACCGAAGCCACCGGUGGUGAAGCCACCGGUGGUGAAGCCACCGUAUCACCCUAAACCACCUAAGCCUCCGGUGGUGAAACCCCCAUAUCACCCUAAGCCACCAAAACAUCCCCCGCAUCCUCCCAAGCCACCUGUUGUAAAGCCUCCCUAUGUACCUAAGCCACCUAUUGUAAAGCCUCCACCGUAUACACCCAAACCACCGGUUGUGAAGCCUCCGCCAUAUACACCCAAACCGCCGGUUGUGAAGCCUCCGCCAUAUACACCCAAACCGCCGGUUGUGAAGCCUCCGCCAUAUACACCCAAACCGCCGGUUGUGAAGCCUCCGCCAUAUGCACCCAAACCGCCGGUUGUGAAGCCUCCGCCAUAUGCACCCAAACCGCCGGUUGUGAAGCCUCCGCCAUAUGCACCCAAACCGCCGGUUGUGAAGCCUCCACCAUAUACACCCAAGCCACCUUACUAUCCAAUACCGCCGGUCAUAUCACCACCAACACUGCCUCCAAAGCCACCAGUCUACCCCAGUCCACCAAUAGUGAACCCUCCACCAUAUACACCCAAACCGCCGGUUGUGAAGCCUCCGCCAUAUACACCCAAGCCACCUUACUAUCCAAUACCGCCGGUCAUAUCACCACCAACACUGCCUCCAAAGCCACCAGUCUACCCCAGUCCACCAAUAGUGAACCCACCAACACCGCCGAUUCUGCCACCUCCUAUUGUGAAUCCACCAACACCGCCGAUUCUACCACCACCAUCACCACCUAUUGUGAACCCACCAACGCCUCCUAUCGUGAAGCCACCUUCACCGGGAACACCGUGUCCUCCACCACCACCUCCGGCACAACAAACAUGCCCCAUAGACACUCUCAAGCUAGGUGCAUGUGUGGACGUGUUGGGUGGCUUAGUACACAUCGGCAUAGGUAGCAGCGCCAAAGACACUUGCUGCCCUGUACUACAAGGGCUGUUGGAUUUAGACGCUGCCAUUUGUCU